AUGGUAUUGAGUAUUGCAAUAUCAAACUUUACAUUCAUUGUUCCUAAUUUCUGGAACAGGGUGAUAGCUUCGUCUGCACAAUUAUUUCUACAAAGACCUCUAAGUAUUAUACUGUAUGUAGAAAUACUCACUGUUAUUCCAUUUUCCGUCAUCUCAUGGAACAUUUUUCUUGCGGCAACAGUUCUCCCAUUUUAA
rnacentral:rRNA from 1 species